UGAGUAAGGCAGACAAUGAGGCAUUGGCUAUGCGCAAACAGGCUGAAGGAUUGACAACGGAGUACGACAGACUGCUGAAGGAACAUACCAAACUUCAGGAGACCUGUGAAGGCCAAAAGGAUAAGAAGGACGAAUGAUUCCAGUCUUCGUUGGAUUCCCCAGUCUCCGUCCCUUUCCUUCUUGUUCAUUUGUCUCUUUCUGGCGGUGGGACCUAACUGAACCCUCUGUUCCUAUCCACUCCUGCCCCUCUCCCAAACAAACCCCCACCCCCCUCCCAGGUGCUGCUACAGCUUUUGAGCAGACAACGGGUCUUCAUUGGGCUUUGCUGGCGAGAGACAACUGAUGCCUGUCCCUGUAUCCCUGGGAGACUUUCCAGGAGGGUGGGGAAGGGGGGACGAGGGCAAACGGAGAAUCCAGAGCCAUCAGUAUGUCCUGGUGCGAUGCUGGGGGAGGUUGCUUGGCUAUUUCAGCAUGCGCCCUUAACAGGGCCUGCCUCUUUCAGCUGCAUUUGUAUUCCCUCGCAUUGGCCGUUCCUCUGCACCCUUCUAGGCUGAAGAGUCCGUGUUGAGUUUGCGUGCCUGAAUGGAAAGGGGGGAAAGAUUGGCCAUGUGUCUUGAUUUGUUUUUUUUUUUUGAUAUGCGAAAUAAGGUGACUGUACAAAGCUUCUUAUUAAAACCUUUGGAACAGUA